GCCUGGGUGGCUCAGUCGGUUGAGCGACUGACUUCAGCUCAGGUCAUGAUCUCACGGUUUGUGAGUUCGAGCCCCGCGUCAGGCU
rfam:Felis catus isolate Cinnamon breed Abyssinian chromosome B2, whole genome shotgun sequence.